GGUGGAUUAGUGGCGAACGGGUGAGUAACACGUGGGCAAUCUGCCCUUCACUCUGGGACAAGCCCUGGAAACGGGGUCUAAUACCGGAUUACACUCCUGCCUGCAUGGGUGGGGGUUAAAAGCUCCGGCGGUGAAGGAUGAGCCCGCGGCCUAUCAGCUUGUUGGUGAGGUAGUGGCUCACCAAGGCGACGACGGGUAGCCGGCCUGAGAGGGCGACCGGCCACACUGGGACUGAGACACGGCCCAGACUCCUACGGGAGGCAGCAGUGGGGAAUAUUGCACAAUGGGCGAAAGCCUGAUGCAGCGACGCCGCGUGAGGGAUGACGGCCUUCGGGUUGUAAACCUCUUUCAGCAGGGAAGAAGCGAAAGUGACGGUACCUGCAGAAGAAGCGCCGGCUAACUACGUGCCAGCAGCCGCGGUAAUACGUAGGGCGCAAGCGUUGUCCGGAAUUAUUGGGCGUAAAGAGCUCGUAGGCGGCUUGUCACGUCGGUUGUGAAAGCCCGGGGCUUAACCCCGGGUCUGCAGUCGAUACGGGCAGGCUAGAGUGUGGUAGGGGAGAUCGGAAUUCCUGGUGUAGCGGUGAAAAUGCGCAGAUAUCAGGAGGAACACCGGUGGCGAAGGCGGAUCUCUGGGCCAUUACUGACGCUGAGGAGCGAAAGCGUGGGGAGCGAACAGGAUUAGAUACCCUGGUAGUCCACGCCGUAAACGGUGGGAACUAGGUGUUGGCGACAUUCCACGUCGUCGGUGCCGCAGCUAACGCAUUAAGUUCCCCGCCUGGGGAGUACGGCCGCAAGGCUAAAACUCAAAGGAAUUGACGGGGGCCCGCACAAGCAGCGGAGCAUGUGGCUUAAUUCGACGCAACGCGAAGAACCUUACCAAGGCUUGACAUACACCGGAAAGCAUUAGAGAUAGUGCCCCCCUUGUGGUCGGUGUACAGGUGGUGCAUGGCUGUCGUCAGCUCGUGUCGUGAGAUGUUGGGUUAAGUCCCGCAACGAGCGCAACCCUUGUUCUGUGUUGCCAGCAUGCCCUUCGGGGUGAUGGGGACUCACAGGAGACUGCCGGGGUCAACUCGGAGGAAGGUGGGGACGACGUCAAGUCAUCAUGCCCCUUAUGUCUUGGGCUGCACACGUGCUACAAUGGCAGGUACAAAGAGCUGCGAAGCCGCGAGGCGGAGCGAAUCUCAAAAAGCCUGUCUCAGUUCGGAUUGGGGUCUGCAACUCGACCCCAUGAAGUCGGAGUUGCUAGUAAUCGCAGAUCAGCAUUGCUGCGGUGAAUACGUUCCCGGGCCUUGUACACACCGCCCGUCACGUCACGAAAGUCGGUAACACCCGAAGCCGGUGGCCCAACCCCUUGUGGGAGGGAGCUGUCGAAG
rnacentral:rRNA from 1 species